rnacentral:rRNA from 1 species
GACGAACGCUGGCGGCGUGCUUAACACAUGCAAGUCGAGCGGUAAGGCCCUUUCGGGGGUACACGAGCGGCGAACGGGUGAGUAACACGUGGGUGACCUGCCCUUAGCUCUGGGAUAAGCCUGGGAAACUGGGUCUAAUACCGGAUAUGACUCCAUGACGCAUGUUGUGGGGUGGAAAGCCUUGUGCGGCUAGGGGAUGGGCCCGCGGCCUAUCAGCUUGUUGGUGGGGUGAUGGCCACCAAGGCGACGACGGGUAGCCGGCCUGAGAGGGCGACCGGCCACACUGGGACUGAGACACGGCCCAGACUCCUACGGGAGGCAGCAGUGGGGAAUCUUGCGCAAUGGGCGAAAGCCUGACGCAGCGACGCCGCGUGAGGGAUGACGGCCUCGG